rnacentral:rRNA from 1 species
CAGUAGCCGCGGUAAUACGGAGGGGGCUAGCGUAGUUCGGAAUUACUGGGCGUAAAGCGCACGUAGGCGGCUUGGUAAGUUAUAGGUGAAAGCCCGGAGCUCAACUCCGGAAUUGCCUUUAAGACUGCCGAGCUAGUAGGUGAGAGAGGUAAGUGGAAUUCCGAGUGUAGAGGUGAAAUUCGUAGAUAUUAGGAAGAACACCAGUGGCGAAGGCGGCUUACUGGCUCAUUCUAGACGCUGAGGUGCGAAAGCGUGGGGAGCAAACAGGAUUAGAUACCCGAGUAGUCCCUGUCUCUUAUAA